GAUGAACGCUAGCGGCAGGCUUAACACAUGCAAGUCGAGGGGCAGCAUAAUUGGAGGUUUCGGCUAAAGAUUGAUGGCGACCGGCGGACGGGUGCGUAACGCGUAUACAACCUACCCUUCAUUGGUGAAUAACCCGGAGAAAUUCGGACUAAUACACCGUAAGCUAUUUUGAGGCAUCUCAGAGUAGUAAAAGAUUUAUUGUUGGAGGAUGGGUAUGCAUGACAUUAGCUAGUAGGUGAGGUAACGGCUCACCUAGGCGACGAUGUCUAGGGGUUCUGAGAGGAAGGUCCCCCACACUGGUACUGAGACACGGACCAGACUCCUACGGGAGGCAGCAGUGAGGAAUAUUGGUCAAUGGACGGAAGUCUGAACCAGCCAUGCCGCGUGCAGGAUGACGGCUCUAUGAGUUGUAAACUGCUUUUGUAUAGGGGUAAAAUCGGGUAUGUAUACUCGACUGCAAGUACUAUACGAAUAAGGAUCGGCUAACUCCGUGCCAGCAGCCGCGGUAAUACGGAGGAUUCAAGCGUUAUCCGGAUUUAUUGGGUUUAAAGGGUGCGUAGGCGGAUUAUUAAGUUAGUCGUUAAAUCGCAAUGCUUAACAUUGCAAUGGCGAUUGAUACUGGUAAUCUAGAGAUUAUGUGCAGUGGGCGGAAUGAGUAGUGUA
rnacentral:rRNA from 1 species